rnacentral:misc_RNA from 1 species
UGCUUCUUCAUAUCUAGCAACACUGCCAAACAAUUGUUGCAUUAGUUCUUUGAGCAGUCCAACUGACUAUGGUUCCAAAAUAAAAUACGAUGACUCUUCAACUAAACAGCUACUCCUCAAAGUCAAUACAUUUUCCCGAUUAAUAAAAAAUAUGUAGCAUUGAAUACAAGAUGAAGCAUCAAGUACACAUCAAACAUUGUGAAUUAUGCAGUCUUGCCUAUUGACAAACAUACAUGUCCCCCCAAUUCAUACUUGUAAGCAAGACCAAUCAUGCACACAACUCCCAAUGUUAGUCCCAUUCUCUGCUAGACAACUGUUGAUAUUAUUACACAGGAUAGCAGGAACCUAAAUGUGUUGUCCUGCGGUCAUAACUAUUACUCAAAAUUUAAACUCACAUACUUAUGAAACAUUUUCAAACAAAUACAUGCAUAAGAAUGAGAUUUCAAACUCAGUCACUAAGAUCUUUCAUUGGCUAAAUUCCUACAGCUUCUUUUGCAAAGUGUAUGGAGCUCUAAUUGAAGAAAACUUUUUUCCCAAAAGAAAAAAUAUGGUUCCCGCUCCCUUGUAUAAUAUUAACUCUAUUUCUCACAAUUUAGACUCACAUACUUGUGAAACAUUUUGCAAACCAAUA